GGAAUAUAGCUCAGUUGGUAUAGUGGCUUGCCUCGCAUGAAUAAGGCCCUGGGUUCAAUCCCCAGCACCA
rnacentral:tRNA from 1 species